AGCCCCCACAAUGCCGCUCAGAAAAUGGUCCCAUCCCGGAAGUAAGAAAAAUUGCAGUUCCACCCUCAUCCGCUGGGGGCUGGUGCCAGAAGCGAGCAAAUCCUCAUUGACUCCCAUGUUAAAAAUGCCGAUUUCACAGCAGAAAUAAACAUGUUUACAGCCUGGUGCCAAAACAUGUUUUUUGUCUAAAUUAUCUAGUUUAUACUCAUGACAACUCUGAGGGGGGUGAAUUUUUUUCUCACUCUUCUGUUUAAGUGUAUUGAAAGCCUAAAAUUCUGUAUAAUUAAUGAGCAUCCGACACACGUGACCGCCGCCUCAGACCCACGUGACCACAGAGCUAGCUCCGUGGAAAGGCCUCAGUACAGCCUCGGUCUGGCUUGGAAACUGCUCCGGCAUUUUGAGUCUCUGUGUUUGUGUAUUCUUCUUUGGAUAUUAUUGGUGCAAUUGUUGGACAAAAUGACUUGCAGUGGUAUUAAUUGCACUAAUAGAGCGUCCAAGGAGUCUCCACUUCAUUUUUUUCGGUAAGUUAAAAUCUAUAUUCGUAUUUUAUGUCACUGCUACCUUUAAACUAGCUGAGUUUACCGAAGUAGCUAGCUAACUAUCAGUUUAACAUGUAGCAUGUACUGUUUAACCAUGAAAUUUAAAUGUAAAAUACGGUAAAAUAAUUAAUAGGGCAUAUUUAGAUGGGUAAUAGGGUAAAACCCAGUGCAUUUAAGAUAAAAAUGGGUUGAAAUAUGACGGAGCGCUAAGAGGGAGACUUCUGUGUCCAUUCUUCCAUCCGGUAAUCCCCAGCGUUCAGGCCGGGCAGCCUGACCGAUCCGGCGCCUACUUGCUGCGCCUAGCUGCUGCGCGGUCUGACCGCUCGUGGAGUUUUUCAUGUCUGACUUUAACCGCAUCUAAUACUGUAUUACGGCGUGAGCGCAACAGCGACAACUUAAUAUCGAUGUGUAAGCAGCCUGAGUGGUAGGGUGUUUUCAUCUGAACCCUCCAGCAGGCUAUGCUGCACUAUUGACGUGUUAGCGCGCGGCGCUAACAACUUAGCAACGUGACAUGUCUCUGAGAAAGCGUAAAACACGGACGCUUCUUCUGAAGCGGAAAAUAACACCUCUUCUUAAGCAGAGCAGGAUGUCGCCUCAGCUCGUUCACGGCCGAGCCGGACUGAGCUCGAUAACAUUGACCAAGCACAGCCACUGGGCCGUUGUAGCUGCCACCAGGCCUGCUGAAGGAACUCCAGCGGGUUUCAUCAGACUCGUAAAGUUUCUUGUUUUUGCUGGGGAUUUCUGUAUUUUACCGCUCCCUCCUGCAGUCUUCCCCUAUUAAAAUUUAAAAUGUGUAACUUUAUGUAUUGUGAUGAAUGACUAAUAUUCAUGUUAAACUGAAACGUUAGGCAUUUAGGGGGAAAAAACAAAAUAAUAAACAUUAUACAGAUGUCAAAUAAAUCAAACUGUAAUUAAACUAUAUAUUUUCAAAGUCAUAUAGACAGCAUGAUGGUUUGUGUGAUCCGCGCGGUUUCACUUACACCCCUUUAAUGAUCAGGCUGUUUUUUAUUAUUUUUAUCAGCUGAUAGCAGUUAAAAUUAUGGUAAAAAAUAAUUUUAUCUGUUUUUGAUAACUUAAUGCCCAGGAAGAGCAUCUUCCUGGGCAUUAAAUAUAACCCAAAUGUUUUAUUAUGAGCAGAUCUGAUGAAGGUUUAGACAAGCAGUCUGCAAAGUAAAACUUGUUUAGAGUCCAAACUCUUACUAAAGCUUUUGAAAAGAAAAAAUGGUUGAAUUUUGAGAAAUAUCCACAACAGGGGAGCGAGACCUCUGAAAAAUGUAUAUUUUCUCUGAAUUCAUAGAAUAAUGUGAAGAUUCUGGGAAAAGUUGGGAUUCUGAGAUUAAAACGUAAAUCUUUCUAAUCAUAAUUCUGGCAGUUUUUGUGUCCUUCUGCUGUGGAAAGUCGUGCAACAUGAAGAUACUGAGAAGAUGCUUACAACCUGUAUUUUUAUUCCAUCCAUAAAUAAAAUCAUGAGCUAUUUUUUUAAUCCAAAUUUGAUCCAAAGGGCCAUCGUUGGUUCCAGACCCGUUCUAGAACAUUCCUCUAAUCUUAAAGUCAUCAUCAGUUUCUUCCUUUUAACAAAUAUUUAUUUGUUCAAAUAUUUAAUAUUUAUAACUGGAAUAUUUGUUCCUCCCUCUCCCACUGCAGUUAGUCCUGUCCUGCAACCCUGUUUUUGCAGCUUAGUGAAGCCAACCAUCACUAACUGGGGGGUGGUUUUGGACCCAGAGAUGCGGAUGGACUCCCACAUUAGCCAGGGAAGGACCUGAUUGGUGUCCAGAACCUGCUGAAGAAGCACCAGGCUCUGCAGGCUGAGAUCACAGGUCAUGAACCUCGCAUCAAGGCUGUCACCCAGAAAGGAGAGACCAUGGUGGAAGAAGGUCACUUCGCUGGUGAGGAAGUGAAGACUAAACUGUGGGAGCUUCAUGGACGUUGGGACACGCUGAAGGCCAAGGCGUCCCAGAGGAGGCAGGACCUGGAGGACUCUCUGCAGGCCCAGCAGUACUUUGCGGAUGCUAAUGAGGCCGAGUCCUGGAUGAGGGAGAAGGAGCCCAUCGUUGGAAGUCCAGACUAAGGGAAAGACGAGGACUUGGCCGAGGCUCUCCUGAAGAAGCACGAGGCCCUGAUGUCGGACCUGUCGGCUUAUGGCAGCAGCAUCCAGGCCCUGAAGGAGCAGGCCCAGUCCUGCAGGGACCUGAAGGCCAACGAGUCCCGCCUGAGGGACAUCAACAAGGUGGCAUCUGAACUGGAGUCAGAAGGUCUGAUGGCUGAGGAGGCUCCUAUGGUUCAGGCUCAGCAACAAGAACAUCUGGGUUCUGCUCCUGGAAAGGUGCGUGUUGUCCUCCGCCUCCACCAGAACCAGACGUGGUGUUUAUGUUACCACUCAUUUGUUUGUUUACAGGAUGAAGCCGACUCUUAACACGGCGUCACCCUGGAAGGUGAGUUCAUUCAGCUGAUCAGAGGUCACCUCUGAUGGCAGCAGUCACGGCCGACCGUGCUGACAUCACACAGGAAUUCAGGUGACCCGGCAGGCACCAGGUUUUGGUGAAAGUGGGGACAUGUCAGCUGGUUGCCAUGGCUAGUUAUCUUUAUGCAUCUGUAUGACUGCUGACUGUUGUGUGUUUCCUGUGACCUUUGACCUCAGACCGUACGGUUGGGCGUUCAGACGACGGCUAACUUUAAUUCCAUCAAGGUAAGAGGAAGCUCUUCCCUUUCUGUCUGAGCGAUCCGUCUCCAGGUUUCUUCGUCCGGCGUCCAGCCCGCUGGCGUCCACCUUCAUCUCACCUUCAUCUCAUCUCACUUCAUUUAUAGUGCAAUACUUUCACAUUAUCAUUUUCCCACACUUCUGUAUACCUGUAUUUUGUUGUUUUUCAAUAAAGAAUGACAAAUUAUUUAAGUUUGGUUUUUGUUGCACACAAAUAUAUAUCUGUAAAAAAAUAUCUACAAAGCUAAUGUUUACAUAACAAGUAUGAUUGGGUUUUGCAAUACGGCACUCAAGUUUAUUUUAGUAAGAUUUUCAAACCAAGUAAAGUUAGUAAAGAACACAUUUCUAUUGUCUGCUAAGAAACUGUUGGGAUUUAAAAUGGGCCUGUUGUACAAAUAACUUGUAAAUGAUUAUUCCUCACUUUUAUCUUAACCAAAGAAAUUCCAGUAAUUGAGCAAAAACAUUUAUUUUUAACACUACAUUUUAUAAAACGGCGCAAAGUGUCGGCACAUGUAUGUAAGUCGAUGGUCCGCCCCAACCAAACCAAGAGACACAGACGUCAGGGAGGCCAAGGUUGUCUCUGCAGCUCUCUGGGCACCACGCCUCACUCAGCUGUCUUCAAUGAUCCAAAUGGCUAUGGAGGAAAAAAUAACAGGUUUGGCCUAGCUGUUUAAAGUACAAAACCAUUCAUGAAGUGGUCAAGACAAGUACUUGGAACUUACACGCUGCGUUGUGUAGCUGACGUUGGAGACACACAGGCUGCCAUGGUGACCUUUUAAUAGAUCUAAGAAAAAAAUGUAAUAAAAGAAUGAAACUUAAAAACUCCCAGACCUCAUGUCAUAUUUACUCAUCAGCUAUGGCUGAUUUGUUUGGAUCACAGUGAGUUACACUAAUUCUAAUAUAUUUUUAUUUCUAUUAUACAUACAUACUUUUUAACUGUUAUUUUCACAUGACUGUUAUCAGGCUCUCUUGUUCUGGUUCUGAUGAUAACUCUGUGUCUUCCAGUAAGUUAUCUUGUGCUUACUUCAUCUGUAUAAUGUCUCUUUACUUUUGGUAAAUUGUACUGAGUCCAGAAUAAAGGCUAGUUGGCUGUACAAGAUACAAACAAGUAUUACGUUUUGGAAAUAUAUGAAACACCGCCAGCAUCUGUUAGAGCCUGUGGCGGGGUGCUGAGGGCCGGCUCCAGCCCAGGAAUGAGCUCUACACGCCGGCCGGGAGGGUUUGAAACACCGCCAUCCUCUCCUCUGCUGGCUGUAAAUUCUGUUAUGGUUACCGGUGCUUGUGUUGCAAUGUGAAACGCUUGGUCUCAGAUUUUGUAAGAAAGAUAAUAAAAUGUCCCCCCAAAAUACGA